rnacentral:lncRNA from 1 species
CUCAAACGCUUCUCUCUCUCUAAAAUCUCUCCUCCCUCUCUCUAAAAUCCCUUCUCUGCUAAAAUUUUACCCAGCUCUAAAUCUCUCAAAUGAAGAUGUGAAUCUCAUCUAUCAGGUUUGUGGCCAAAUCCCUAAUUUUCCCUUUUUCUUUUAGGAAAAAAACUGAUGUUCAUAAUAGAGUUUUGUGGAGAAAGAAUCACACAUCUGAUUUCUCUCCCUAAUCUCAUAUAGCCGCUGGUGACCUAAUGCUUUCCCUAAUCUCUGCAACUUUUCAGAGUUUUGUGCAUAUGUUUAACUGAAAACCCAUAUCAAUUUAUAUAUAAAUUUAUGUUUGGAGUAUUUUUAAUAAAGGAUUCUGUAUUCUGUAAGGUAAAAUUUUCAAUAUGCAGUUAGGGAUUAUUAUUAUUUCAGUGAUUUUACAUUUGUAUUCUCAGAUUUCAUCUCGAAUUUCUCUGAACCAUUUGAUAUUCUACAGGAAUACAAAAAAAUCAUACAUAAAGACUCAUUUGAAGCCUAUUUGGUGUUGUUAUUGUUGAUUUUUAGUCUUGACAGGACUCUCACCUAUCUCUUUUUUGGGUAAGUUAAUAGCUUCUUCUUGAGAGACCUAUUGCAUGUUGGUAUUCCAUGCUUAUUUUUUCCUUUUAUGACUAUGUGCCUAAAUCAGUAGAUACAUACUUUUAACUUUUAUAAGACAUAUAUAUGUUACUAUAAGGUUAUAAGAAAACAUAAUACUUCUUUGGUAAAUGCAUGCAUUUGGCCACUUAAAAAAUAAUUUGAAUGUAAUAUGCUUUCUUGUCAUCUGGAAAAGGAGUUUAGAUGGACUAUCAACUCCCAAUCACACCCUAAAAUCUAAAUGCCUUCUGUUUUUAUUUAGCUGGGAAAAUAUUUCCCCUAUAGAAUGCCCCGAAAUCUUUUUGAACUUUGUUAGCUCUUUGUAUCUGAGAUAGCAUAUAUGUAGUAAGC